AAAAUAAGAAGAUGAAGACAAUAAAGAUGAUGAAGAUGAAAAGCCAAAGAAAGUUGAAAAGAAGAAUGAAGAUUGAAGAUGGUUAAUGAUGGAGGCAGAGUACAUGGAUGGAAGUCAUUGUGCAAUGGAGGCGAGUUUGAUAAGAAAAAUAAUAAAAGAUAUUGAUCUAAUGUAAUUAGAAGCAAUUCUAAUUAUGUGUGACAAUAAAGAAUGUCUUGCAUUUGCCUAGAAUUCAAAAUACCACUCGAGAACCAAACUCAUUGAUGUUCA
rnacentral:lncRNA from 1 species